rnacentral:rRNA from 1 species
UACGUAGGGGGCAAGCGUUGUCCGGAUUUAUUGGGCGUAAAGAGCGUGUAGGCGGCCAUACAGGUCAGCUGUGAAAACUCGAGGCUCAACCUCGAGACGUCGGUUGAAACCGUAUGGCUAGAGUCCGGAAGAGGAGAGUGGAAUUCCUGGUGUAGCGGUGAAAUGCGCAGAUAUCAGGAAGAACACCCGUGGCUAAGGCGGCUCUCUGGGCAUUACCUGACGCUGAGGAGCGAAAGUGUGGGGAGCGAACAGG